rnacentral:rRNA from 1 species
GACAGAGGCCCCGAGCGUUAGGCGGAAUCACUGGGCUUAAAGCGUGUGUAGGCGGGCCCGUAAGUACCUUGUGAAAUCCCACGGCUCAACCGUGGAACGGCUGGGUAUACUGCGGGUCUUGGGCCAACUAGGGGCAGCCGGAACAAGCGGUGGAGCGGUGAAAUGCGUAGAUAUCGCUUGGAACGCCGAAGGUGAAAACAGGCUGCUGGGGUUGCGCCGACGCUGAGACACGAAAGCCAGGGGAGCAAACGGG